rnacentral:rRNA from 1 species
AUUGAACGCUGGCGGCAGGCCUAACACAUGCAAGUCGAGCGGAUGAAGGGAGCUUGCUCCUGGAUUCAGCGGCGGACGGGUGAGUAAUGCCUAGGAAUCUGCCUGGUAGUGGGGGAUAACGUCCGGAAACGGGCGCUAAUACCGCAUACGUCCUGAGGGAGAAAGUGGGGGAUCUUCGGACCUCACGCUAUCAGAUGAGCCUAGGUCGGAUUAGCUAGUUGGUGGGGUAAAGGCCUACCAAGGCGACGAUCCGUAACUGGUCUGAGAGGAUGAUCAGUCACACUGGAACUGAGACACGGUCCAGACUCCUACGGGAGGCAGCAGUGGGGAAUAUUGGACAAUGGGCGAAAGCCUGAUCCAGCCAUGCCGCGUGUGUGAAGAAGGUCUUCGGAUUGUAAGCACUUUAAGUUGGGAGGUAGGGCAGUAAGUUAAUACCUUGCUGUUUUGACGUUACCAACAGAAUAAGCACCGGCUAACUUCGUG